CCUUCGUGAUGACACCUGCACACGUCUUACGCCACGUGUCAAUGCCAGAACCUGCAAAGGUGAACCCACUGGUGUUACCGUGGCAACAAGGGGAAGACAUGUUGGGGCACCAACAGUCUGAAUGGA